rnacentral:rRNA from 1 species
ACGCUCGACACCUACGGAGGCAGCAGUGGGGAAUAUUGCACAAUGGAGGAAACUCUGAUGCAGCGAUGCCGCGUGAGGGAAGAAGGUUUUCGGAUUGUAAACCUCUGUCUUUGGGGACGAUAAUGACGGUACCCAAGGAGGAAGCUCCGGCUAACUACGUGCCGAGAGCCGCCGGUAAUCUGAGCGGGCGUGGCGAAGGCG